rnacentral:rRNA from 1 species
AGUGAACGCUGGCGGCAGGCCUAACACAUGCAAGUCGAGCGGCAGCGCGUCCGACCACCCUCGGGUGGUCGGAUGGCGGCGAGCGGCGGACGGGUGAGGAAUGCAUCGGAAUCUGCCUCGUUGUGGGGGAUAACGUAGGGAAACUUACGCUAAUACCGCAUACGACCUACGGGUGAAAGUGGGGGACCUUCGGGCCUCACGCGAUGAGAUGAGCCGAUGCCGGAUUAGCUAGUUGGCGGGGUAAAGGCCCACCAAGGCGACGAUCCGUAGCUGGUCUGAGAGGAUGAUCAGCCACACUGGAACUGAGACACGGUCCAGACUCCUACGGGAGGCAGCAGUAGGGAAUAUUGGACAAUGGGGGCAACCCUGAUCCAGCCAUGCCGCGUGAGUGAAGAAGGCCCUCGGGUUGUAAAGCUCUUUUGUCCGGAAAGAAAGCAUUCGGUUAAUACCCGGGUGUUCUGACGGUACCGGAAGAAUAAGCACCGGCUAACUUCGUGCCAGCAGCC